AAGGGAGCAGGGAGCUGGUUUAUCUUGGAUCAGAAUGGACCCUAUUUUGUGGGAAGAAUGCAUGCAGUGAGAAUCUGUGAGAAGCGCAGUGCAGCUGCAGCCCUUAGUGUUUGCUCUUGGCUCUCCUCCCCCUUGUGUCACCAUUGUGACUCCAUGAGACUGUCCCUGGUGUCUGCUGGUCCAGGGUCAUGGCUCACGCUCUCCCUGACAGCCCACAAAAAGCCUCUGAGACAGAAAUGAGGACUUAAAUGACGAAGCUGGGGUGCCCUAUCAAUUAUACUGGCUAAGCUACUUGCGGAUUUCUCAUUCGGAGAGAAGGGCAGCAUGAUGAAAUGGAGAAUGAACUGGUCUCAAAGCUGGGAGAACCUGUGCUCCUUAUGGAACAACUUAAUUUUAUUAUACCUGGUCAUCAGAAACAGGGUCUUCUUCCCUGGAUCCCAAGAGAAGAUGCUGACCAGGGAUUCCCAGUCUGUGGACUCUGGAUAUCUGGGUACCCAUUGAGCUAUUCCCAGGGAUCUACAAAUGGACAGACAUGAGAGACAACCAGUGGAGUGUUUUGUUCAAGAAACAACUGAAACAACUCCAUCUGAACAUAUUUAAACAAGGUGCUGAAACAAAAAACAAAAAACAAAAGAAAUAGAUAAAAGAAUGGAAAUUGAUACAGACUAAUACCAUUUCCUAAGGAAGUUUAAUAGCUAUGAAUCAAUCAAUACACUGAGACCAAACAAGCCUAGAAACCAUCUCUGCCAGGAAACACUUAACUUCCUGCUAAUCAAAGACACACUGAAGCUAAGGAAAAUACCAAUUCAGAAUACGAACUCAUCUGCAAAACCUUAUGAAGGAAGAUGGUAGCAGAAGAGAAGCACUGCUUCUUAAAACCUCAAGAAAAAGUGGAGGAAGAGGAAAAAGCAAGUUUAUAGAAUGUUUGGUGAGAGACCUAAAUAAACUACAGACUGGAGGCACUUGCUACACAACAGGGUAGAAGUCAUAGGAUCUGAGUUCAAAUGCCAGCUUUGCCAUUAUUAUCUGUGAGACGUUGGAGAAAAUCCCUUAACCUUCCUGGCUUGAGUUUUCUUUUCUAUAAAAUGAAAGGGCUGGAUCAGAUGACCUAACCAGGUCCCUUCUGUCACUACAUCUAUGGUCCUAUGAUCCUGAAGGCAUUUAAGGAUAAAAUUGGGAAAUGGAAAUGCUCUAUUAAUAUUCAGAUAAACUCUUUUAUUCAUCAGUUACAGUGGAGAGAACAUAUUAGGACACAUAACAUCACAGUCCCUGAUGUGUUGUAUGAAGAGGAGAAUGUGGCACCAAUGAAAACAGAGAUGGGAAAUUAGACCACAACCUCUAUAAAGAGGAGGUCCAAAUAAGAGUUGACACAAUUUGAGGAAUGGUUGAGACCAAUUCUCAAGAUAUUUGAUAAGGGAGGUUACUAUAUACUUAGGAAAAAACACAGGUCUAAUUUCAAAAAUAGAAAGUAACCAAUAAAAAACAACCAUUAAUCCAUGUGCUUACAUUUCAAUUUUUUUCAAUCUGUAAAAACCUGCCUUAUCUUCCUCCCACCCUAAAUUGAGAAUGAAAGAAAAACAAAAUCCCUGUUACAAAC